CCAGGCCAGACACUUGAAAGCAAUAUUUAUAACUAUGGAGUGAGUUGUUUGAAGUUUUUCUUUUUUAGUGCACAAUUUAUCGACUUUUAUGAAAUACCAUGAGGAGAAGACAAAACAAAGAAGAUAAAACUGACCAGGACGGGAAUAUUGAGGUAAAGUUGUAAUCGUAAUCUAUUCUCUGUACCUCAGAGUUGGAGAAUCUUUGAUUCUUUGUCAAAAGUACUUUGUUGUUG